UACAGGGAGUAGUUUAAGUAGAAUU
rnacentral:tRNA from 1 species